GCAGGAGUGGCGAAAUUGGCAGACGCGCAGGAUUUAGGUUCCUGUACCGAAAGGUGUAGGGGUUCGACCCCCCUCUCCUGCA
rnacentral:tRNA from 1 species